UGCAAGUCGAGCGGACAGAUGGGAGCUUGCUCCCUGAUGUUAGCGGCGGACGGGUGAGUAACACGUGGGUAACCUGCCUGUAAGACUGGGAUAACUCCGGGAAACCGGGGCUAAUACCGGAUGCUUGUUUGAACCGCAUGGUUCAAACAUAAAAGGUGGCUUCGGCUACCACUUACAGAUGGACCCGCGGCGCAUUAGCUAGUUGGUGAGGUAACGGCUCACCAAGGCAACGAUGCGUAGCCGACCUGAGAGGGUGAUCGGCCACACUGGGACUGAGACACCGCCCAGACUCCUAAG
rnacentral:rRNA from 1 species